UGGGGAAUAUUGCGCAAUGGGGGAAACCCUGACGCAGCUACGCCGCGUGGGUGAUGAAGGCCUUCGGGUUGUAAAGCCCUGUCCGUGGGGACGAAAACUGACGGUACCCACGAAGAAAGCACCGGCUAACCCUGUGCCAGCAGCCGCGGUAAUACAGGGGGUGCAAGCGUUGCUCGGAAUCACUGGGCGUAAAGCGUGCGCAGGCGGAACGUUAAGUCGGGUGUGAAAUCCCGGGGCUCAACCCCGGAAC
rnacentral:rRNA from 1 species